CUCCACUAACCCAUGUGCUGGUGACACCCGGAAGUGCAUCUUGUGCCCUUUCUGUGUGAUCCCAAACAAGGCAAGGAGACAGCUCAUGGUGAGAGGAAACUAAUCAAUAAUCAAUAAAUCUAGUGAUUGGAAAUCACAGAGAAUCCAUAGCCUGCACACAGACUGAAUGGAGAUAUUGGUUUAUUCACUAAACUUUUAAUUUGACAAAUUAAAGUCUAAGAAAAUAUCCAGCUCCAUUUUCAGGCUUGUGUUUUUCAAUUUCUUUAUCACAAGUCAUUGUUUAGUAAAUAAAAUUGUAUAGAUUUUAAUUUGCCAGGGAAGUUUAGAAAAACAUUUAAUAAAAAAAUAAACUUAAAUAGUUAAGAAAUAACUAAAGCAGUAAAUUACAGAUUAAGAUCAUCUUUCCAGGGUAAUCUGGAAGAGUUAAAAUUUAAUAAUAAAUAAUAUUUUAGUUUAGUUAUUAAACUGUAAAACCAAAAGAGAUCUUGAAAAUACUAAAAUUGUUGCAAUAGUUGGGAGAACUUUUUUAUUAAAAGUUAUUUGGCCAUAAUUCUGCAAUUCAUUGUUCAUUUCAUAACAUUAAACUGCCAUUAGUAACAAAGGAUACAGUACUAUAUGCCUCAUUUGGAUAAUUUUAUCAUCUAUACCUAUACAUUCACUGCUGAUUUACCUUGUAUUACAUAUAGGUUUAAUAGUUCUAAUUUUUAUGCACUUGUCUUUAUAUUGCAAUUUGUCAAAUUCUCACCUUCUUGCUAUUUUUCUUUUACAAACCAAAAUAAGUAAAGUCUGUGAUGUAAAUGCAGAUGGCAUUGAGAGAGACCAGGUAUGGUAAUGAAAUUGCUCUCCUUUUUAUUUCCACCUACAGGUAUAUGAAAAUGUCUUUUCCAGUCCAACAACCUCAUAAUCGCACACGGAAGCCAGAUGAUGAAGAGGACCCUGUUGAUCAGAUGAUUGUUCGCACAGGAUGCGCAGCAGCUCAUUAUGCUGUGCAGGAGUGCAUGGCAGAGCACCAGGACUGGAGACAGUGUCAGCCACAAGUCCAGAAAUUUAAAGACUGCAUGCUGGAUUAUCAGAAACAGAGGGCGGAAGAACUGAAGAAGCAGAUAAAAGCUUCAUAGACACAAUCCAAUGGAAAACAUUGUAGAACAUUAAUGGACUUGGUCUUGUUCGUCUCUUGAAAUAUUGGGAUUAAGAACAUUUAUCUGGAAUGGACGAUGCUUGAAACAAAUCUCUCUGUUUAGGUUUUGCAAAGUCCUGUUUAUUUUUUACAAACAGUGGUUAGAGAUCUGUUCUCUCUCUCUCUGGUGUCUUAUAUAUGCUUACUAGGCAUUACAGAAAAGAAAGAGAAGUCUCACUUAUUAUCGGUUCUGUACGUUGCAACCGGUCAUGUAACAUCUAUCGGAAAAAAAUCAAAUGUCAAUUUUAAAAACCCUAUUAGGAGUAAGAAGGUAAAUAUUACACCUAAUAGACAGUGAAUGGUAUAAAUGAGCCACAGCACUGUAGGGACAAUUGAGGCAAUUUCCAUGGUUGCAUGAAACUAUAUUUUCUACGGUGUUAUAGAAAAAUGGCUUAUAUUCAGUUAUUUGCAAAACCACAAAUUGUUGGGAAUUUACCAGAGAGUGAAUUGCAAAUAGCUGAGCCACAAAAAUAUUUUCAGAUUUGGCUUACAAUUUACAAUUCCUUGGUGAAUUCUAGUGAAGAACCCCAAUUGGUGACCAGCUCAGCACUAAAGUACCAUUUGUCCUUGUAGAGUGCAUGGAGAGGCUCAUUACUGAACCUGUGUUACAGUUAUACUAAUACAUUGAAUGGGGCGGGUUUUUUCAAUUACUCGUUUUUUUUAAGGAAAGUAAAACGUUGAGAAUACAAGGGACUUAUUCACUAAACCAGUAACUGAGGAGUUCGGACAAAGGAAUUUAGUUUAAUAACAGAGAUGGAAAAUGUAAAGUUGAAUAAAUUGACUAUUUUGACCUAAAAUAUGCAAUCUUUUUGUGUUUCUGCAAGAGUUUUUUGCUAAAUUCCACCUUUAGGGGCUAGUUGCAUAUCUCUGCAGGCUUGUUUUAUAAAUGUACUUAUUUAGUAACACCCCCUGGCAGUUUGAUGUGGAAACACUGAUUGGACACAAAUCAUCAUUAGUGAUGACUUAAAGAUACACUGUACGCACUCAGACCACUUUAGUUCUUUGAAAUGGCCUGUGUGCAGUGUCCAUAUCUCCUUAAC